AUGGUUCUCCUCUGGUUCCUUGUGGCUGUCCUGGUCCCUGUGGGCCAGGCCCUUCAGCAGUCGCCAGACACCGUCGUCCGAGUGGGAGACUCUGUGGUUCUGAACUGUUCCCAAAAGGACAAUGCAUACUCAGCCAUGUCCUGGUACAAGUUGCCCAUGGGGAAGGAUGCCACUCUGCAGUUGGUUGUAUAUUCGGUGGAAGGUGGCAGGGCAGAGAUUGAGAAGGAAUUCAGAAAUCAUUUUGGAGCAAUGGGACUAAGGGCUACCGCUUAUCUGUGGCGAUAGAUAACGCGGUACUCAAUGACUCUGGCACAUAUUUCUGUGCUGAGGGAGGCCCACAGUGA